CCCCCUUAAGGUCGACGCUUUCGAUGGGACCCCAGGUCAGGCGGGACCACCCGCUGAUUUAAGCAUAUCAAUAAGCGG
rnacentral:rRNA from 1 species